GUCCUGAUAAGGUGUAGUGGUUUGAGCGUUAGACUACGAUUCUGGAGACCAGGGUUCGGAUCACGGUUGGGCCA